rnacentral:rRNA from 1 species
UACGUAGGGUGCAAGCGUUAAUCGGAAUUACUGGGCGUAAAGCGUGCGCAGGCGGUGAUGUAAGACAGAUGUGAAAUCCCCGGGCUCAACCUGGGAAUGGCAUUGGUGACUGCACGGCUAGAGUGUGUCAGAGGGGGGUAGAAUUCCACGUGUAGCAGUGAAAUGCGUAGAGAUGUGGAGGAAUACCGAUGGCGAAGGCAGCCCCCUGGGAUAACACUGACGCUCAUGCACGAAAGCGUGGGGAGCAAACAGG